GGAACCACGACUGGGAUCUAGAGGCUGCUCAUUGGCCGCCGAUAUGCUAAUGCAUGUUGUUGUUGCAAUAAAAAUAAUGUCGAGAAUAAAAGCAGCCUUUAGAUUGGCACAGUUGAUGGUGCAUGCAGUAUUGAGAGUAAAAGGGAAGAUCUUGUACCAGCCACUGUAAGAUCCAGUAGCAAAGCCAAGGAUGUUACCAAUGGCCAUAAAUAAGGAAAAAUAUGCAUUUGCUACCCGAGUUC
rnacentral:misc_RNA from 1 species